rnacentral:lncRNA from 1 species
CAAAUUUUAAAAUUUCUUUAGGCCUGCAAGGUUAUUAUGAUGAAUUUUUGGGGCUAUAUUAUUUCUUUCAAAUGAAAUCUCUAUCUGAAGUAGCUCAUUAUCAGUAAUAGGAACUAACAAGAACUGAUUACCAGGAACUAAUCUAAUAAUUAUUGCCUGGAGCCAAAAGUUGACAUAUAAACUUGACAAUAGAUUUCCUCCAAAUCUGGUACAUUUGUAGAAUAAAAAUGUUUUCUUUCAGAUACUUGGGUUGAAAACAGGGAAGGAUGCUUCUGGCCAGCUGAUGCUGAAGUUUGAAGUUCAGCUGAAAAAUGAACAUUGGACAUGGAAGGUUCAAUAGCUGCCUAUAUGCUGGGAAUAGCUGGAACAGCCAGGCAAGGGGGUCCCCAUUUGGGUGCUGCUGUGAUGUUUGUUUGGGCACAGGGUGCCUGAUUCUGGGUCACCUGCCAUCAUUCGGGCAUAUAGUCAGGCACCAAUGUAAAAAUAGAGAGAGAGAUUAUUUAUUCCAAAGA